UCACACCAGUUGCAGUACGACCACUGAAGUUAAGCAUUGUCGAGCCUGGUCAAUACCUAGAUGGGUGACCGCUUGGAAUACCAGGUGCUGUAA